GACGAACGCUGGCGGCGUGCUUAACACAUGCAAGUCGAACGGAGCGAAAUGGAAGCUUGCUUCUAUGGAGCUUAGUGGCGAACGGGUGAGUAACGCGUAAUCAACCUGCCCUUCAGAGGGGGACAACAGUUGGAAACGACUGCUAAUACCGCAUACGAUUCAACUUCGGCAUCGAGGAUGAAUGAAAGGUGGCCUCUAUUUAUAAGCUAUCGCUGAAGGAGGGGAUUGCGUCUGAUUAGCUAGUUGGAGGGGUAACGGCCCACCAAGGCGAUGAUCAGUAGCCGGGUCUGAGAGGAUGAACGGCCACAUUGGGACUGAGACACGGCCCAGACUCCUACGGGAGGCAGCAGUGGGGAAUCUUCCGCAAUGGACGAAAGUCUGACGGAGCAACGCCGCGUGAGUGAUGACGGCCUUCGGGUUGUAAAGCUC
rnacentral:rRNA from 1 species